rnacentral:lncRNA from 1 species
UUUGAUCCUUGGCCUCGCUCAGUGGAUUAAGGAUCCGGUGUCGUGAUGAGCUGUGGUUAGGUCGCUGUCGAGGCUCGGAUCUGGCAUUCCUGUGGCUGUGGGGGGAUAGGCCGACAGCUACAGCUGCACUUCAACCCCUAGCCUGGGAACUUCUAUAUGCCGCACCUGCUGCCCUAAAAAGACAAAAAGAAAAAAGAAAGAUAGAGAUUGAGUUCAGCUUUUGCUGAGGUGAAGCCCAGGAAAAAAAAGGUCAUGAGCUCUACAGGGGAAGGAGUGGCGUGACAGACAGGGACAGCGGUGCAUCAAAGAGGAGAGGGCUUGGAGUUCCCGUCGUGGCGCAGUGGUGAACGAAUCUGACUAGGAACCAUGAGGUUGCGGGUUCGAUCCCUGGCCUUGCUCAGUGGGUUAAGGAGCCGGCGUUGCUGUGAACUUCGGUGUAGGUCGCAGACACGGCUUUGGAUCCCAUGUUGCUGUGGCUGUGGCGUAGGCCAGCGGCUACAGCUCCGAUUCGACCCCUAGCCUGGGAACCUCCGUAUGCCGCGGGAAGCGGCCCUAGAAAAAAGCAAAAAGACCAAAAAAAAAAAAAAAAAAAAGGAGUGGGCUUGCCAGGGUGCCGGCUCUUCCGCCAGCCCCGUGCAUCUGUGGCCACCAGCAGAGGGCGCCCGGGACCGCAUCUCACAAGCGCUGGGCGAGGUCCGCCCUCCCCGCCCCUCCCUCCCCAGCCCGGACCCCAGCAGCCGUCCCCGCCCCUCCCGGGCCCCUGCCCGCCCGCCGGCGACGGUCAGCCCCCCUACAGGCAGCGGCGGCGCAGUCUGUCUUUGCUGGUGACCCACCCCCAGGGAAACACAAGGCUGAGACCUUUACCGGAAUCACUGCCUUGCCUUUCUCUGCGGUUUACCAGCCAGGUAAAAAUGAUGUGUUCAUUUUGCCUGGGGUGGUCGCGGUUCGUUAUGUCAGUGGAACCCUGUGGCUGUGUCCUCUGUCGCCGCGGUUUGUUCAGGUUGUUCGCAGCCAGCGAUGUUCCGUCGUAAGAGUAGAAUCCAGGUGCUUUGUCCAGUCCACUGUAAAUGGACCUUGUGCCGCUGCUAAUGAGGCAGCAAAUGUCAUAAUAACGAACCCCACCGUGCCUGAAGCAGCGGUACCUUGGUGCAAGCCUUUUUCUUUUUGUUUUUGACAAUUAGGAAACUUUCAGAAAAGUUGCAAGAAAAGUGCAAUGACGCUCCAUAUACCCUUGGCUCACAUUCACCAGAGUAGCUACCCAUGUCGCCACAUUGGCUCUCUCUCUCCCUCUGUCACAUACAUACACAUUUUUUUUCCUGAACCAUUCCACACGUAAGCUACAUAGCUCACGACCCUGCACUCUUAAGUAUUUCAACAUGCAUCCCCUAAGAAAAAUGACAUUUCUUACACAACCACAGCAUGGUUACCAAAUUUAGGCCUGGUGACAGUGAUGCAACACCGAUGCAACGCUGGGAUCUGGCAUGUGGUCCACUUUCAAGCGGUCCCCGCUUGUCCCAGUCAUGCCUCGAAUUUGGUUGUUAGGUCUGUACCUUAUUUUUUUAGGGCCGCACCCAUGGCAUAUGGAGAUUCCCAGGCUAGGAGUCCAAUUGGAGUUGUAGCCACCGGCUUACACCACAGCCACAGCAACACCAGAUCCAAGCCACAUCUGUGACCUGCACCACAGCUCACGGCAACGCCGGAUCCUUGACCCACUGAUCGAGGCCAGGGAUCGAACCCACGUCCUCAUAAAGAACUCCCAAGUCUCUUUAGUCUUUAAUCUGGAACCAUCCUCAGCCUUACUUUGUUUUUAAAGACCUUGACAUUUUUGACAGUAUAGACAUUUUACAGAAUGUCCCUCAGCAUUUUUUCCCCCUUUCCUCUUCCCCCCAGUUAAGAAAAUCAGUUAUGUCCAUUAUAUAAAAUUUGGACAAUAUAGGAGUUCCCACUGUGGCUCAGUGGUUAAUGAACCUGAGGACACAGGCUCAAUCCCUGGCCUUGCUCAGUGGGUUAAGGAUCCGGUGCUGCCAUGCGGUUGCAGUCGUGGCUCGGAUCCCAUGUUGCUGUGGCUGUGGUAUAAGCCACAAACUACAGCUCUGAUUCCACGCCUAUCCUGGGAAUCUCCAUAUGCCUCGGGUGCAGGCCUAAAAAGAAAAAAAAUAAGACCAAAAAAAGAAAAAUUGGACAAUAUAGAGAAGUAAUGUAUAGCACAGGGAAAUCUGCUCAAUACUCCUUGAUAGCCUUUAUGGGAAAAUAAUCUGAAAAAGAAUGAAUACAGGGAGUUCCCUUCAUGGCUCAGUGGUUAACAAACCCGACUAGGAUCUAUGAGGAUGCAGGUUCAAUCCCUGGCCUCCAUCAGUGGGUUAAGAAUCUGGCAUUGCCGUGAGCUGUGGUAUAGGUCACGGAUGCAGCUCAGAUCUGGCGUGGCUGUGGCUUGUGGUGUAGGCUGGCAGCUGCAGCUCUGACUGAACCCCUAGCCUGGGAACCUCCACAUGCCGCAAGUUCGGGC